CCACAUGUGCAAUGCAGGGACACGCGUAGUCAAUCCAGGACGUUCAACGGACGGUUCCAACGGUCCAUGCAUCCUCUUAUAAAAUAAGGCUGGCCAACUGACCAGAUAAACGACACAUGAGCGUGCAAUGCAGAGCUUUGGUUCUCAUUUUCUAACCUUCCAUUCGUUCAUAGGUGGAUGGCCUACGCUUGGGACGCACCAGCCUUACUUUUGAUACAAUGAAAAUUCACCGAAACAACUGCCUUAUGAACGUAUCAGAUCCUACACACGUAUGCCAAGACGGCACUUGCUGGGUGUUCGUGUAUGGCGCUUGAUGAUGGGGUGCGUAUGGAGCCAUCAUUACCAUGGAGAAAAAAAAUGCAGUCGAAUUUAAAAACCCACACACCAUUUCCCUCUUCCUUUCCCAAAUCCAUCACUUCAAACGCCCAUUUUUAUUGAAAUAUUCCCCCCCUCAUUCUGACACGACCAGACCCCAAAAAAUGAGCUUCGAGGGUUUCGACGAAUGGGACGAGAAAUUCUUGGACCAGGCGAUUCGGCUCGAGGAAGAAGUCAUCUCCACAAGAAACGCCACGCAAGCCACUCCCGCCAUUCCUCCCUCCCACCCCCAUGCGCACGAUAGCGCGUGGGAUGACGUCAGCUUCUCGCCUCCCCGAGAGCUGUCGCAGAGGUUCUCGGAGAGACCCGAAUCCGAUUCCUUCCCCGAAAUGGACUGCGAAGUGGUCGAGCAGUGGCGGCCGGCCGCGAGGACCGGAACGGGCCGUCACGCCGGAGGCGGAAAGGAGAAGGAGAUUGAGCGGUUGAAGAGGGAGUUGGGACGUGUCUCUAAGCAACUUAAUCACCUGGAACAUGAAUGCAUGGAGCUUAAAAAGGACAGGGAUAAGAAGGAUGGACAACUAAAAUCUGCCUUUUCCCAGCUGGAAGCAAAAGAUGCCGAGAUACACUCUCUGAAGAAAACAAACGCGGAGUAUGAGGCUUCUACCCUGCAACUUCACAGGGCAAGCACUUCUAUUGAUCAAGUUGGCACUGGGUUUCCCAUUUCUGGACCAUGGGCUCGAGAAGGUACAUCAAAACGAUUAUCCCGUAAUAUCAAGAACAGUUUUGAACAUGAUUCUACACGGACAGACAUUCAGAUGGAUGGAUUAUCUGCUGUAUCUGAAUUGAAGCGUCGCAUAUUGAUUGAUAGUGAUACUACCACCUCUAAUGGAUGUCCAAUUCCGGAGAUUAUUUUCCCUGAGACAUCACAGCCAAAGUGUACUAAAGCCAUAGGAAUCCAAACAGAUCUCGUUAAUGAUUGCUGCAAUGUUACAACAAGGAAUGAAUGUGCGCAGCAUGAUCUUUCAAACACGUUGUUAGCAAUCUGGGACUCUACAAGUGACAAACAAUCAGAAAGAAAUCUGGUCUCCAAGUUACUUAUGACUUGUGCAUCAGAUUUUUAUGUGCUUUUCAGGUGCAUGAGCGUGUCUUCCAAAAUAACUCUCGAAUCUCUGGCAGAUGAAAGCUUUUCUGAUGUGACUUUGCAUGAUCGCAUGCAGCCUGUUCAUUCAGUUGAGGCUGCAAAAGUUUCUCAUCUCCAAGAUGUACUGACAAAGAUAAAUAAUGGGAUGCUGCAAUUGGAUGUGUUGCUUGAAGCAUUACUUGACCUCUGUAUUCUAAAAAAUGUUGUUGUUGUUCAUAGAUCUCUUCGUAUACUGCGUGUCAUUUUGCAGCACACACUGAGUUUCAACACAAGACCUGAUAGAAGGGACAAUGUUGUGAUCACCUAUUCCCAAAAUCCCAACAUUCUUGAAGAGAAGAAAAAGGCAGACACUGGAGUCCAAUUUUCUGAGAGCUGGGAUGAGGCAUUCUUUACAGGUUUACUUUCAUCAGCCACCAGAUCCUUUGAUGUGAAAAGUCUAGGCAAGAAGGGAAAUGAGGGUUUUUGUGGCAGCACAUCUAUUUCUUCUAUGCAUUGGAUCUCGCUCUUUGAAACGAUGCAACAGAUUCUUGUGGGAAAUACAGAAGAAUGUAUACGAGUGGAAGCAACAUUUGUAAUGAACCUUAUUCUAAUGAGAAGUAAUCCCAAUAAGGAUAGAGUGAAGUUUGGGUCAAUCCCACUGUUUGGAUGCCUCUCAAGGCUCCUGCGGAAGGAAGCUGGCUUAUGCGUGCAAAAGCAAGCUGUCUGCCUUCUUUUCCUGUUAUUGAAUUGCCCAAAGCUUUUGAUGAUGUUUUGUACUGGCGAUAAAGAUGGCAUUGAGUAUGCAGAAGCAGUUGAUGUCCCAAAAGAUGCUCCUGCAUUACAAGGCAGGUUCAGCAGUAUCCUGGAGGGCUUAGCAGAGUGUGUAACCUGCAAGGGAAACGGUCCACAUGAGGUUCAACUGCGUCGGCAUGCUAUUGUAGUGGUUGCUUUUAUAGCAUCAUCCGGCAAAUCCGGCUUUGAAAUUCUGCUGAAGUCCAGUUUACCAAAGGGUAUCUGCUUUCUGGAGUUGAUUGUGGAAGUCUUGGCAUCAGAAAUGGAUGCUGAAGCAGCAGAUCUGGCUGAAUCGCAUGAUCUCUGUAAAGAAAGGAACAAAAGUGCUUCUUCUGCUGGAGUCUUCUCCAAAGUCCUUGUCCUCUUUAGGGACUGGGCUCCCUAAAGUUUUUCUGGGGUUCCUCAGCCAGGCGUGGGUCUGGUUUUCUGUAUUUUCUUUUUUCUUUUCUUUUUAGAUUCUGCUCAGGUUUCUUUUUUUCUCUUUUUGUCUCUUUUUUCUUUUUUCCUUAUCUUUUUCUGUGUAUAGUUUUCGUUUUUUGAGGGUUCUCCUCUUCCCUGUUGUUCCUUUUUCCCUUUUUAAUAAAAUUCUCAUCUUUCAAAGGAAAAAAGAAAAAAAGGAAAGAAAAAAAAAAUCACCCUUGCCAUCCUCAGCCUUGUCCCAGCAAUUGGUUUCAGCUUUAUGAAUCCUGUUUCACAAAAUGUUUUAAGGGCCCUAGGUCUGUUAGGAAGAAAGAUGGUGAUAGUUGUCUCAUUGUUCCACUGGCUUCUAUCCUUUUUGGUUGACGUGUUCCACUUACAGAUACCAGAGGGAUAGCCAUCUGCAAUGUAAGGAGCUCUAGUGAAAUGCCUUCCAUUUUUCUGUGUUCAUGGAUUCAUUACUGCAGUUCAAUGAUGUUGCUCCACUUGUUUUAUCGAAUAUGCAAUCCUGGUGUUGCCUUGAUGCUAUUCACUAAGGAAUUGAAAAAAAAAAGAAAAGGGAGUGGAAUCACUAAAACAUACCCUUAGGCCAUCUUUGGAAACCUUGGACGCCAUGCCAAACAGAGGAACAAAAAAAAGGUUUUCCUUUGAUGUGAUGAUUUGCAUUAUUUGGAUAGCAAAGAAAGGUGCCGAUUCCACCAAAUGAUCAUUAUACUUUUCCAUAAUUUGGAUUCUUGGCACAAGAAACUAGGUGAGUGUUGUGAGAGGAAUACAACAUUUCCACUUGCUACCCCAAUACGAACUAAAGAUUCAAAUCCAUGUUUCAAUACUUGUCAUGGAAAUCAUUAUGAGAUAAUUAUUGUUUUUUGGCCUUGGAUUUCACGUAUUCAAAAAUGCCCUAAAGUGUCUCGCAAACUACCAACUGUGGCUCUCCUGCCGCAGCCAGCAAUAAGGACUGGAUUUUCUUGAUAGGACUUUGCUAAUGAGGGAGGCAUUGAUUCUUCUUAAUAGACUGGCAUCAAAUCCUGUCUACUCUGCAGUUGUCUUGGGAGUGCUAACACACAGCAGAGCCACAGCAAGCUUGACUAUUGGUGUCGCAGAUAGGAU